rnacentral:rRNA from 1 species
UACGUAGGGGGCUAGCGUUGUCCGGAAUCAUUGGGCGUAAAGAGCGUGUAGGCGGUCCGGUAAGUCCGCUGUGAAAGUCGGGGGCUCAACCCUCGAAUGCCGGUGGAUACUGUCGGGCUAGAGUGCGGAAGAGGCGAGUGGAAUCCUGGUGUAGCGGUGAAAUGCGCAGAUAUCAGGAGGAACACCGGUGGCGAAGGCGGUUCUCUGGGCCUUACCUGACGCUGGAGGAGCGAAAGCGUGGGGAGCAAACAGG